rnacentral:rRNA from 1 species
AACCAACCGGGAUUGCCUUAGUAACGGCGAGUGAAGCGGCAAAAGCUCAAAUUUGAAAUCUGGUACCUUCGGUGCCCGAGUUGUAAUUUGGAGAGGGCAACUUUGGGGCCGUUCCUUGUCUAUGUUCCUUGGAACAGGACGUCAUAGAGGGUGAGAAUCCCGUGUGGCGAGGAGUGCGGUUCUUUGUAAAGUGCCUUCGAAGAGUCGAGUUGUUUGGGAAUGCAGCUCUAAGUGGGUGGUAAAUUCCAUCUAAAGCUAAAUAUUGGCGAGAGACCGAUAGCGAACAAGUACAGUGAUGGAAAGAUGAAAAGAACUUUGAAAAGAGAGUGAAAAAGUACGUGAAAUUGUUGAAAGGGAAGGGCAUUUGAUCAGACAUGGUGUUUUGUGCCCUCUGCUCCUUGUGGGUAGGGGAAUCUCGCAUUUCACUGGGCCAGCAUCAGUUUUGGUGGCAGGAUAAAUCCAUAGGAAUGUAGCUUGCCUCGGUAAGUAUUAUAGCCUGUGGGAAUACUGCCAGCUGGGACUGAGGACUGCGACGUAAGUCAAGGAUGCUGGCAUAAUGGUUAUAUGCCGC